rnacentral:lncRNA from 1 species
GGCACAGCUGGGGUACCCCUGGGCACACCUGGAGUACACGUGAGAUACACCUGGGGCACACCUGGGCGCACCUGGUGUACACCUGGGAUACACCUGGGUACAGCUGGGGAACACCUGGGCACACCUGGGAUACACCUGGGCACACCUGGGACACACCUGGGAUACACCUGGGCACACCUGGGAUACACCUGGGCACACCUGGGCACACCUGGGCACACCUGGGCACACCUGGGGACAUGCCCAGAUCCAUGGGGACACACCUGGGCACACCUGGGAGAUGCCUCGGGCACACUUGGGCACACCUGGGACUGUCUCUCACCUGUCCCACCUGUGUCCCACCUGUCUCACCUGUCCAUAUCUCGCUUGUCUGUAUCUCACCUCUUUGUCCCUCACCUGUCCCUCACCUGUCCCUCCUGUCCCUCACCUGUCUCUCACCUGUCUCUCACCUGUCUCUCACCUGUCUCUCACCUGUCUCUCACCUGUCCCUCACCUGUCUCUCACCUGUCUCUCACCUGUCCCUCACCUGUCUCUCACCUGUCUCUCACCUGUCCCUCACCUGUCUCUCACCUGUCUCUCACCUGUCCCUCACCUGUCCCUCACCUGUCUCUCACCUGUCUCUCCCCUGUCUCUCACCUGUCUCUCACCUGUCCCUCACCUGUCCCUCACCUGUCUCUCACCUCGUCUCUCACCUGUCUCUCACCUGUCUCUCACCUGUCCCUCACCUGUCUCUCACCUGUCUCUCACCUGUCUCUCACCUGUCAGGACGAGCGGCUGCUGCGGCCGUUCCUGGACAAGACGCUGACGUCGCGCCUGGGCAUGCGGAUGCUGGCAGCGCAUCACCUGGCUCUGCACGAGGACAAGCCGGAUUUCGUCGGCAUCAUCUGCACCCGCCUGUCCCCCAAGAAACUCAUCGAGAAGUGGGUGGACUUCGCCAGGUGAGCGCACCGGGGGCACGACCCAGAACACACCUGGGACACACCCAAAACACACCUGGGCACACCCAGAACACACCUGGGCACACCCAGAACACACCUGGGCACACCCAGAACACACCUGGGCACACCUGGGCACACCCAGAACACACCUGGGCACACCUGGGAUACACCUGAG